GACAGAGGGUGCAAACGUUGUUCGGAAUUACUGGGCGUAAAGCGCGUGUAGGCUGCUUCGAAAGUCGGAUGUGAAAGCCCUGGGCUCAACCUAGGAAGUGCAUUCGAAACUUCGGAGCUGGAGUCUUGGAGAGGGUCGCGGAAUUCUCGGUGUAGAGGUGAAAUUCGUAGAUAUCGAGAGGAACACCGGUGGCGAAGGCGGCGACCUGGACAAUGACUGACGCUGAGACGCGAAAGCGUGGGGAG
rnacentral:rRNA from 1 species